rfam:Triticum aestivum genome assembly, contig: Triticum_aestivum_CS42_TGACv1_scaffold_094281_2AL
UAAAUACUCCCUCCGUCCGGAAAUACUUGUCCCAGAAAUGAAUAAAAUUGAUGUAUUUAUAACUAAAAUAAGUCUAGAUACAACCAUUUUGAAGACAAGUAUUUUCGGACAGAGAGAGUAGUAC